GUCAGGAACCCCACAGCUACAAGCUGGGGGCUUGGAAUUUAGCCCAUACCUGACCAGAAGACCAGAGUAAUCUGGUAGCCGUUAUGGGGAAGCGUUAAAGUUCCGACCUACGGGUGCGUGCCAGCCUGUAGCUCUCGAAAUCCAGCAUUAAACAGGUGUACAAGGGUUAAGCCAGUGUGUUGGAUAAAGUACCGCCCAAUAACCACUUCGAGGCAAACUUUAC
ncrna:Microcoleus chthonoplastes PCC 7420 HNH endonuclease-associated RNA and ORF (HEARO) RNA